rnacentral:rRNA from 1 species
UACGUAGGGUGCAAGCGUUAAUCGGAAUUACUGGGCGUAAAGCGUGCGCAGGCGGUUGUGCAAGACAGAUGUGAAAUCCCCGGGCUCAACCUGGGAACUGCAUUUGUGACUGCACAGCUUGAGUGCGGCAGAGGGGGAUGGAAUUCCGCGUGUAGCAGUGAAAUGCGUAGAUAUGCGGAGGAACACCGGUGGCGAAGGCAAUCCCCUGGGCCUGCACUGACGCUCAUGCACGAAAGCGUGGGGAGCAAACAGG